rnacentral:rRNA from 1 species
GAUGAACGCUGGCGGUAUGCUUAACACAUGCAAGUCGAACGGACUCUUCGGAGUUAGUGGCGGACGGGUGAGUAACGCGUGAGAAUCUGGCUUUGGGUUCGGGACAACCACUGGAAACGGUGGCUAAUACCGGAUGUGCCGAGAGGUAAAAGAGAAAUUGCCUGAAGAUGAGCUCGCGUCUGAUUAGCUAGUUGGUGAGGUAAAGGCUCACCAAGGCAGCGAUCAGUAGCUGGUCUGAGAGGAUGACCAGCCACACUGGGACUGAGACACGGCCCAGACUCCUGCGGGAGGCAGGAGUGGGGAAUUGUCCGCAAGGGGCGAAAGCGUGACGGAGCAAUACCGCGUGAGGGAAGGAGGUUCUUGGGUUGUAAACCUCUUGUCUUAGGGAAGAACAAAGUGACGGUACCUAAGGAAUAAGCAUCGGCUAACUACGUG